GACGAACGCUGGCGGCGUGCCUAACACAUGCAAGUCUAGCGAGAAAGGGGUAGCAAUAUCCUGAGUACAGUGGCGCACGGGUGAGUAACACGUAGGCAAUUUGCCUUCAGGACGGGGACAACCUCGAGAAAUCGGGGCUAAUACCCGAUAAUGCAGCGGCACCGCAUGGUGACAGUUGUUAAAGGCCCGCGAGGGCGCCCGGAGAUGAGCCUGCGUCCCAUUAGGUUGUUGGUGAGGUAACGGCCCACCAAGCCUACGAUGGGUAGCUGGUCUGAGAGGAUGAUCAGCCACACUGGAACUGAGACACGGUCCAGACUCCUACGGGGAGGCAGCAGUGAGGAAUAUUGCGCAAUGGCCGAAAGGCUGACGCAGCGACGCCGCGUGAAGGAUGAAGUCCGUUAGGAUGUAAACUUCUUUUGCAGGGGAAGAAUGUGGCGCCUUGGGCGCCAUUGACGGUACCCUGCGAAUAAGGGUCGGCUAACUACGUGCC
rnacentral:rRNA from 1 species